rnacentral:rRNA from 1 species
AGUGAACGCUGGCGGUAGGCCUAACACAUGCAAGUCGAACGGCAGCACAGUAAGAGCUUGCUCUUACGGGUGGCGAGUGGCGGACGGGUGAGGAAUACAUCGGAAUCUACUUUUUCGUGGGGGAUAACGUAGGGAAACUUACGCUAAUACCGCAUACGACCUACGGGUGAAAGCAGGGGAUCUUCGGACCUUGCGCGAUUGAAUGAGCCGAUGUCGGAUUAGCUAGUUGGCGGGGUAAAGGCCCACCAAGGCGACGAUCCGUAGCUGGUCUGAGAGGAUGAUCAGCCACACUGGAACUGAGACACGGUCCAGACUCCUACGGGAGGCAGCAGUGGGGAAUAUUGGACAAUGGGCGCAGGCCUGAUCCAGCCAUACCGCGUGGGUGAAGAAGGCCUUCGGGUUGUAAAGCCCUUUUGUUGGGAAAGAAAAGCAGCAGGUGAAUACCCCGCUGUUCUGACGGUACCCAAAGAAUAAGCACCGGCUAACUUCGUG